AUUGAACGCUGGCGGCAGGCCUAACACAUGCAAGUCGAACGGUAACAGGAAGAAGCUUGCUUCUUUGCUGACGAGUGGCGGACGGGUGAGUAAUGUCUGGGCAACUGCCUGAUGGAGGGGGAUACCUACUGGAAACGGUAGCUAAUACCGCAUAACGUCGCAAGCCCAAAAAGGGGGACCUUCGGGCCUCUUGCCAUCGGCUGUGCCCAGAUGGGAUUAGCUAGUAGGUGGGGUAACGGCUCACCUAGGCGACGAUCCCUAGCUGGUCUGAGAGGAUGACCAGCCACACUGGAACUGAGACACGGUCCAGACUCCUACGGGAGGAAGCAGUGGGGAAUAUUGCACAAUGGGCGCAAGCCUGAUGCAGCCAUGCCGCGUGUAUGAAGAAGGCCUUCGGGUUUUAAAGUACUUUCAGCGGGGAGGAAGGGAGUAAAGUUAAUACCUUUGCUCAUUGACGUUACCCGCAGAAGAAGCACCGGCUAACUCCGUG
rnacentral:rRNA from 1 species